rnacentral:rRNA from 1 species
CCUACGGGAGGCAGCAGUGGGGAAUAUUGCACAAUGGGCGCAAGCCUGAUGCAGCGACGCCGCGUGGGGGAUGACGGCCUUCGGGUUGUAAACUCCUUUCGCCAUUGACGAAGCCCUUCGGGGUGACGGUAGGUGGAGAAGAAGCACCGGCUGACUACGUGCCAGCAGCCGCGGUAAU